AUACGGAGGGGGCUAGCGUUAUUCGGAAUUACUGGGCGUAAAGCGCACGUAGGCGGGCGGAGAAGUCAGAGGUGAAAUCCCAGGGCUCAACCUUGGAACUGCCUUUGAAACUUUCUGUCUUGAGGUCGUGAGAGGUGAGUGGAAUUCCGAGUGUAGAGGUGAAAUUCGUAGAUAUUCGGAGGAACACCAGUGGCGAAGGCGGCUCACUGGCACGAUACUGACGCUGAGGUGCGAAAGCGUGGGGAGC
rnacentral:rRNA from 1 species